CUACGGGUCGCAGCAGGCGAGAAAACUUUGCAAUGUGCGAAAGCACGACAAGGUUAAUCCGAGUGGUUUCUGCUAAAGGAACCUUUUGUCGGUCCUAGAAACACCGAUGAAUAAGGGGUGGGCAAGUUCUGGUGUCAGCCGCCGCGGUAAAACCAGCACCUCAAGUGGUCAGGAUGAUUAUUGGGCCUAAAGCAUCCGUAGCCGGCUCUGUAAGUUUUCGGUUAAAUCUGUACGCUCAACGUACAGGCUGCCGGGAAUACUGCAGAGCUAGGGAGUGGGAGAGGUAGACGGUACUCGGUAGGAAGGGGUAAAAUCCUUUGAUCUAUUGAUGACCACCUGUGGCGAAGGCGGUCUACCAGAACACGUCCGACGGUGAGGGAUGAAAGCUGGGGGAGCAAACCGGAUUAGAUACCCUAGUAGUC
rnacentral:rRNA from 1 species